rnacentral:rRNA from 1 species
AUACGUAGGGGGCGAGCGUUGUCCGGAAUGAUUGGGCGUAAAGGGCGCGUAGGCGGCCGCUUAAGUCUGGAGUGAAAGUCCUGUUUUCAAGAUGGGAAUUGCUUUGGAUACUGGGGGGCUUGAGUGCAAGAGAGGUUAUCGGAAUUCCCGGUGUAGCGGUGAAAUGCGUAGAGAUCGGGAGGAACACCAGUGGCGAAGGCGGGUAACUGGAGUGCAACUGACGCUGAGGCGCGAAAGUGUGGGGAGCAAACAGGAUUAGAUACCCUGGUAGUCCACACUGUAAACGAUGAAUGCUAGGUGUAAGAGGUAUCGACCCCUUUUGUGCCGGAGUCAACACAAUAAGCAUUCCGCCUGGGGAGUACGGCCGCAAGGUUGAAACUCAAAUGAAUUGACGGGG